AGCAUAUCAAUAAGCGGAGGAAAAGAAACCAACAGGGAUUGCCCCAGUAGGAGCGGUCCCCAUCUAAGUGCCCUGGAACGGGACGUCAUAGAGGGUGAGAAUCCCGUAUGGGAUGGGGUGUCCGCGCCCGUGUGAAGCUCCUUCGACGAGUCGAGUUGUUUGGGAAUGCAGCUCUAAAUGGGUGGUAAAUUUCAUCUAAAGCUAAAUAUUGGCCGGAGACCGAUAGCGCACAAGUAGAGUGAUCGAAAGAUGAAAAGCACUUUGAAAAGAGAGUUAAAAAGCACGUGAAAUUGUUGAAAGGGAAGCGCUUGCGACCAGACUCGCUCGCGGGGUUCAGCCGGCAUUCGUGCCGGUGUACUUCCCCGCGGGCGGGCCAGCGUCGGUUUGGGCGGUCGGUCAAAGGCCCUCGGAAGGUAACGCCCCUAGGGGCGUCUUAUAGCCGAGGGUGCAAUGCGACCUGCCUAGACCGAGGAACGCGCUUCGGCUCGGACGCUGGCAUAAUGGUCGUAAGCGACCCGUCUU
rnacentral:rRNA from 1 species